GUCGCGAACGUCACGUCAUGUUUUAAACGCACAACUCGACGGACGCGUUCGCACGAGCCUUCGCAAUCGGUUAUAUUCGAUUGUUUGUUUGGUUUUUUUUUUUUUUUUUUUAUGCGUACGAACCAUUGUUGUACACACGCACACGAUACGGUACACGUGAGCGGCCAACGAAGCCCGAAACGUUAACGGAUUUCACGAUUGAACGGUAAAUGUUCAACGGUCGUCAAUUAUUGCGAUAUUAAUAUUUUUAUAACGGCACGGCACUGUACUGUUUGUCGGUGUAAAUUUACUUGAAAGUCAAUUCGAACACUCUCGAGUCGGUUAAUAUUAUCGGUAUUCUCCCUCCCAUCUCCCCUCCGCCGGUACGAAAUGUCAUUAAAAUCGUCUACGUACGCGACCCCGCAAAUUCCAGACGCUACCCAAAAUUUUUUCCAAUGUCCCAACCUACCCUUACGGCAUUCGAGUUAUUUGAGUUUGUAAUUACCGGGUAAUAUAGAAAUUUCGCUGCGUGCCCGGCACCAUUAUACACCAUAGGUACGACAAAAUUGUCGACGUCAAGUGCGCGCCGUCGAGGCCGCCUCCCACGACCGCCGCGACAACAACAACAACAACAACA